UACUUAGGGACAUACGUAUAUUAAUUUUACUCCCUAAGUAUAUUCAUGGUGUUAGCACGAAAUGAAGCAAGAAGAUGAAAGAUUUGGUAAGGUAUAAAUCUAAAUAGACAUUGUUACGUACACCAGUUCUUUUCUAGAUGACAUUAGAGAUGUGACGUCACGAAGUGGUGAUGACGCAAUAGAAGAACCCACUUCAACAUGGUAUGUGACGUCACAGAUGACCAAGAGGACAAAACGCGAUUCCGAAAUAAAGAAACGCCAGCGUACUUGCUGUAGAAGAAAAGCGCAAGACAAAAAAGCAAAAACAAAGACGACGAUAAAGUUUUGAGGUUUUGCUUAGGCUAAGGAGUUGUGUGUUGUUAGGGUGUGGUUGCUGGAGCACUCUUUCAGUGUUGCUGGAUUUGUGUUUGUGUCUUAUUUUUGCUGGAUCUAUAACGUGGCCAGCCUUUUUGUCAGUCACUACUUUAGUGCAUUUUGCAUGUCACUGAAAUAUUUGCAAUGAAACCAUAGCGAACAUCUUGCUGGAUCGGAUUUUGUUGUUGUACACGUCAUUGAGUGUUUCUUCUGCAAAGGUCGAAUCUUUUAGCGAUUCUGCAUUGUCCUAAUCACUUGAUAAGAACGGCAUGUUGGUACACAAAUACUCGAGUAAUAUCCACGCGCAUUAUAAUAUACACGCAGUUAAACCUUUGAAUUUAAAGUCCCUCAUUUUUCAUUAAAUAACUAUCCACGUUAACCUAAUGCUAUUAUUAUACAAAAGCGUAACUGUGACGCUGGCCACGUUACAAUUACGCUAUACGUCGAUGGGUCUUUAGGGCCUAGCGUUUGGUGCGGUUACGUUACGGUUCUAGACUGAGUUACGUUACUGUUGGGUUGUUGCGUGGACGUCGCCGCCAGUGAUGCUACG